UGCAAUAAAUCUUGCUACUGCUCACUCUUUGGGUCCAUGCUGCUUUUAUGAGCUGUAACACUCACCGCGAAAGUCUGCAGCUUCACUCCUGAGCCACCAGGACCACGAGCCUACCGGGAGGAACCAACAACUCCAGAAGCACCGCCUUAAGAGCUGUAACACUCAUCACGAAGGUCUGCAGCUUCACUCCUGAGCCAGCGAGACCAGGAACCCACCAGAAGGAAGAAACUCCGAACACAUCUGAACAUCUGAAUAUCAGAAGGAACAACCUACAGACGCCGCCACCUUAAGAGCUGUAACACUCACCAUGAGGGUCCACGGCUUCAUUCUUGAGACAGGUGAGGAAGAGGACAUCUGUAAAUGGAGGGUGAAGCCAAUGAAGAGUCAUCUCAAAGGUGGCACAACUGGGAGGUGGCAGACUCUGUAUGGUUCCCAGGCUGCCUCUCUUGAGGAUGGCGUGUCACAGUAAGUAGGAUAAACACAAAAGUAAACAGGAAAGAAGUCAUAUGACUAAUAAAAAGCUCUCCAAAAUUUGUUUCUACAGGUACACAACUAUUUUGCAGUAAACACGAGGGGAAUUUUAUCCUAUUAUAAUUUCUUCUGUUUACAAAAUGCAGUCUACAAGGUUAAGUAGUAGGCACAAAAAUAGCGCACUUUUACUGAUUUUAGCUUGAGAGAUUGCUUUAAUUAUAAAACACCCACAUUUUAAUUUAUAUAAAC